UGCCAGCAGCCGCGGUAAUACGGAGGGCGCAAGCGUUAUUCGGAAUGACUGGGCGUAAAGGGUACGUAGGCGGUUUGGUCAGUUAGAUGUGAAAGCCCAGGGCUCAACCUUGGAACUGCAUUUAAUACUGCUAGACUUGAGAUCGGAAGAGGAAAGCGGAAUUUCUAGUGUAGAGGUGAAAUUCGUAGAUAUUAGAAGGAACAUCAGAGGCGAAGGCGGCUUUCUGGUCCGAUACUGACGCUGAGGUACGAAAGCGUGGGGAGCAAACAGGAUGAGAUA
rnacentral:rRNA from 1 species